rnacentral:rRNA from 1 species
AGUGAACGCUGGCGGUAGGCCUAGCACAUGCAAGUCGAACGGCAGCACAGUAAGAGCUUGCUCUUACGGGUGGCGAGUGGCGGACGGGUGAGGAAUACAUCGGAAUCUACUUUUUCGUGGGGGAUAACGUAGGGAAACUUACGCUAAUACCGCAUACGACCUACGGGUGAAAGCAGGGGAUCUUCGGACCUUGCGCGAUUGAAUGAGCCGAUGUCGGAUUAGCUAGUUGGCGGGGUAAAGGCCCACCAAGGCGACGAUCCGUAGCUGGUCUGAGAGGAUGAUCAGCCCCACUGGACCUGAGACACGGUCCAGACUCCUACGGGAGGCAGCAGUGGGGAAUAUUGGACAAUGGGCGCAAGCCUGAUCCAGCCAUACCGCGUGGGUGAAGAAGGCCUUCGGGUUGUAAAGCCCUUUUGUUGGGAAAGAAAAGCAGCAGGUUAAUACCCCGCUGUUCUGACGGUACCCAAAGAAGAAGCACCGGCUAACUUCGU